rnacentral:lncRNA from 1 species
UUUUUUCUUCAACUUCAUGAUUGUUUGUGGGCUCGGCUGCUCCCUGGUUUAACGACCACGUGACUUCUACUAGCAUAAAAGUCUGUGAUGUGCAGGAAAGAGUCAACUGGUGGGGCAGAGGGAGACUUCUCUCAAGGUUGCUGCUAUUCUUGCAAAAGCAACAUGCAAGCCUUGGCUGAUACCUGGGAAAACUGGGCCUGGGGGGGCGGGGCAGGGGAUCAGGGUCUAGAGAAACAGAUCCAGUAGGAUGAGCAUAUAUGCAGAAAGAUACAUAUCUAUAUCUUUUGAUCUAUCUAUCUACACACAUGUAUGUAUGUAUGUAUGUAUGUAUGUAUGUAUGUAUGUAUAUGACACCAACUAACAGGAUUGCAAAUCACCAACAGUGAUUCCGAAAUGUACAGAGUAGUUUGGUGAGCUUUAGACUCAGGAGAGAAGCCCCGCAGUUCCAGCCCUUGGGCUGGCAGGGUGAACUGACCUUACUUAAGUCCAGGAGCAGUCUUGCUCAGGGAGGUGGCCUGGGCUUGGUCUCUGGCUCACUGGGUAGGGCUCAUCUGUAUUAUUUCUAGCCACAAAAAAAAAAAAAAAAAAAAAAUCCACUGGUGUGAAAGUUUAUCUCUUUCUAACCCACUGGUGUGAAUGUUUAUCUCUUUCUAACUCACUGGUGUGAAUGUUUAUCUCUUUCUAACCCCCCUCUGAAUCAAUGAAAAGGAGCUUCGGCCUUGUGCCUAGCAUUUGCCACAACCGAGAAGAACGCCAUGGUGUGUCAACUGCAUAAGGAUUGGUUCAGACUGAACACCUGUGCUCAGAGUACCAAAAGGAAUAGAGAAAGGAGUCUCCAGGCUGGAAUCUCGC